AGAACAACUUGACAUCUCCUUGGAAGUGGGACAAGAGUAUCUACAAGCUGACAAAGAAAAAGAAAAAGAUGUGAUCUCCAUGUCUUAUCCAUUCUCUCCUCAUCACACGACAUUGUGAUGGUGCCCAUUUAACAGAGCCUGGGGAAAAUACUUUUGUUGGAUCCAUGACAUUGAUAAUCUGUGGUGCUGGAGACGGCUCUUCCUUCAAGUGACCAUGGCU
rnacentral:lncRNA from 1 species